rnacentral:rRNA from 1 species
GACGAACGCUGGCGGCGUGCCUAAUACAUGCAAGUAGGACGCACAGUUUAUACCGUAGCUUGCUACACCAUAGACUGUGAGUUGCGAACGGGUGAGUAACGCGUAGGUAACCUACCUAUUAGAGGGGGAUAACUAUUGGAAACGAUAGCUAAUACCGCAUAACAGUAUGUAACACAUGUUAGAUGCUUGAAAGAUGCAAUUGCAUCGCUAGUAGAUGGACCUGCGUUGUAUUAGCUAGUAGGUAGGGUAAAGGCCUACCUAGGCAACGAUACAUAGCCGACCUGAGAGGGUGAUCGGCCACACUGGGACUGAGACACGGCCCAGACUCCUACGGGAGGCAGCAGUAGGGAAUCUUCGGCAAUGGGGGGAACCCUGACCGAGCAACGCCUCGUGAGUGAAGAAGGUUUUCGGAUCGUAAAGCUCUGUUGUUAAGGAAGAACGAGUGUGAGAAUGGAAAGUUCAUGCUGUGACGGU